rnacentral:rRNA from 1 species
ACUCCUACGGGAGGCAGCAGUGGGGAAUAUUGCACAAUGGGCGCAAGCCUGAUGCAGCCAUGCCGCGUGUAUGAAGAAGGCCUUCGGGUUGUAAAGUACUUUNCAGCGGGGAGGAAGGGAGUAAAGUUAAUACCUUUGCUCAUUGACGUACCCGCAGAAGAAGCCCCGUAUC